UUCAAAGUGAAAACUUGAGUAGUCAGAUAAUAUAGUUUUAAUCCCCGUAGCUUAUUUUCUGAACUAAAAGUUAAAUCUAAACUAAAAUAGACUAAGUGAGUGUAGAUGGGUUAAUAUGCUGGAAGGCCUCUGAAGAUCAUCAAGUCCAACCCUCCUGCUAAAGCUGGUUUCCUGUAGUUAAUCAAACAGAAAAGUGUCCAGGGGAGUCUUGAAUAUCUCCAGAGAAGGAGACUUCACAACCUCUCUGGGGCAGCUUAUUCCUGUGCUCCAUCACCCUAAAAGUAAAGUUUUUCCUCACAUUCUUAUGUAACUUCCUGUAUCCCAGUUUGUGGCUGUUGCCCCCCAUCUUGCAGCUGAGCACCACUGAAAAGAGGCUGGCCCCAUCCUCUUGAUUCCUGCCCAUUAGAUAUUUAUAAACUGUGAUCACCUCUCAGUCUUCUCUGAACAGCUCUAGGUCUCUCAGCCUUUCCUUGUACUGGAGAAGCUUUAGGCCCAUCACCAUCUUUGUGGCCCUUGCUGAACAAUCUCCAGAAGUUCCCUGUCUUAUUUGAACUGGGGAGCCCAGAAUUGGACUCAACACUCCAGGUGUGGCCUCACCGGGGCAGAGGAGAGGGGAGGAUCACCUUCCUGACCUGCUGGCUGCAUCUUGAGCUGAUGGGAAAUAUGAGACGGAGAUGGUACAAGAGAGACAUGCAAAAAUUCAGGAGCCUUCCCAGGUCAUCUUCUUACUGCUUCCUAAUGUUUACUUGAUGUGAUCGAAAUGAGUAUUGAGAGAAUGGAGAAUUCAGAUUAAAGCAAAAGUUAGAAGGAAAUCAUUCUUUCAUCAAGCACAAUCCACAACAUUUAAGACACUCCUUCAAACUCAGAAUUCAUUAAGUCAAAUUAGAAGCUUCAGUUUUAUUCUGGGAUUUUCAACAAGUUUCUGUCGUACAGGCACUGAGGAACAAGACAAAGGCAGAGGCCUAUUACUGAAUAUGACAGAGAGCUUCUGGUGUUUUCCCCAAAUGCGGACUCAUCUGCAGCUUCAUUCACAUCACUGCUGGAACACAUGGUCCUCAGCGCAGAGUUAGGAGAAGAUUAAGAUACCAUGAGAUGAGAGAACAGCUAGUUUGAAGGAGAACCAUGAUGGGACAUCAUUUACACACUUCAAAUUGGAGAAUUGAGCCUUUGAUAAAAGAAAGAAACAAAGCUCACAGGAAAAACUCCAAGAGGAUCAGUCUCCAGAAAGAGAUCCCUCCUCAGUGGCAGUCAGCCCUUAAAUGGGGUCUUGGAGAGGUGCAGCCAGGUUCCACCCCUUCCAGUCACGCAGCUGAAUUGCCUUCACCUGUGCUCCCAUGGCUGACUCAGUGAUCACCUCAGCUGAUGAAUCAGAGGUUCAGGUCAUGAUUCAACAGUUCUGAUACACAUGAUUAUCUUUGUCAAGCUAUGACAGAACUAUCCAAGGUUCAGCACAGGUGGGAGCAGCCUCCCCCCUCCUGGCUGAGGCAGGAGCUGCAAAAGGCUCUAUGAAUGACAUGUGAAAUGGCUGCAAAGAGCAAAGACAACAAGCCACAGCAAAAAAAUGUAACCAGCUGAUUUUUCAACGUUCAUCAAGCCAAACAGCCAAUACUUACCAAGACUCUGCUAGUCAGGUUGGUCUCCAGAAACAUUCAGCAAGCAUUGAUCAGUGUCAAUGGGUGGCAUUUUUUCCUGCAUGGAGGAAUUCAGUGGCACACCCUUGCUUCCGAUGGAUUCCGUCAGUCUGCCCCUCUGCUGCCAUCUGUCACAUGGAAACAACAUGUAAUGGAGUACUGUUAGGAAGGUUCAACCCCUGCUGCCAAACCACCAGCAUCCACCUCUGAUGUCAGGGGCCAACAUAAUAAAACAGGAGGCAUUACUUUCAGAGCAGCAAUUGUAUAAAUCGGACGCUCUUUAACAUUUAUUCAAGUUUAUUAAAAUACUACCAGAAUUUCUUGAAUUUUCUGAGUUGUGGACACCAUGAUAAGUUAAAUGCAGCUCUUCCCACUGCUUCAUAGAGAAACUCAAAUGCUAAUUUCAAGAAGUAAACAUUUUAUCUUUUUAGAUACUGAAAAUCACAGCCCAUCUUAAAAGUUGUUCUAUCUGAGUGAUUUUGAACUUUUUCUCUGGCGCCUCAUCUCACACUGGCUCACAUAAGUCUCACGCUUCCCAGUGUACUGGAAACAAUAAAUUCAAUGUGACGUUGUGAGAAAAUCUGAUAGAAUGAGUAUAGCUUGCCAGCUUGAAAUUCAGAAAUGAAACAAUCAUUUUUCAUCACGGUGCCAUUUGCUUAAGGGAGAUGUUCACACGUAGGAAAACUUUAACUACCAUAAUAUAAUAUAGUAACCUUAAAUAUUCUCUCUGAUGCUUUCUUAGUACUUUUCACUACCAGCAAUAUUUACAUUAGAGAUGCUCUUGAGCUACAAGCAACAGAUUCAGAUUUUACUUUCAUCUGCAAACUCACAAAAAUUCAAACUUAUACCACAGUUCCAAACAGCAUGUGUUGUGGAAAAAUAAAUCCCACUGAGGAAAGAAAAUGUGGUCAAUCUGUAGUCUUUGAUGGGUACAGUUCUGGACUAACAGAUAGCUUAGUGAACUGUAGAAAUAAUUUAUCAUAUCACUUUCAAAUAAUGUUUCUCAGUUUUAGUGCAUCGUUCCACUUAUAUGAAAACUGUAAGAUGUGAAAUACUCCUUAGUUUUUGGUGCAUGCUGAAUAUUUUGAAGAUUCUAAAAUGUAGGCUCCUAGCACUUGGCAGACCCUUAAGCUGAGAAAAACAUGGAAAUAGCAGACUGGUUAACUCAAGCAGAAAUUGCCCUAACGGGAAGACAUCUGAUUCUUCAAGCUUUUAAAAGCAUCUGUCUCAGUGGAUAGCUCCAAGACAGACUCUCUGCGAGUGCCACAGGACAGUUCAGAGGAACAGAGUGAUCUGAAAACCACUAAAUGGGAGGGAAAGAUAAAAACAUAUUGUCAGGAAGAUAUAUAUUCAUUACACGAGUUCGGUUGAUGCCAAGAUUUCCUUCAAAAGAAGGCAGAAAUACAAGUAUGCAGUUCACGUGUAAAUGAAGAGAAAACAUUUCAGGUUGAUGAAGAUGACUGGAAGUGAGACUGCCUGAAAUCAGUGAGAGUUAAGGAAAAUAGGGAAAUCCUACUGAAUAUUUUUAUCUGCAGUAAAGAGAUUUGCUGCAAUAACUACGGCGGAAAAGUACAGCUUCUUCUUCUAGUUAGAUUAUCAAGAGCACCAGUAAAAGCUUGGGUUUUGUUGUUCACAGGGAUAAGUCUAUUGUGUUCAGGGGAAAGAAAUCUGCAAGGAAACAUCAUCUUCUACCCCACAAACAUGUGAGGUGAAAUAGAGAUGCUGAUAGAGUCCUUCACAUUCAGCUCUACUCCAGAGCAGUAAAAAGCAGCAGGGUGUAUGCUCUUGCGGGUUUUGUUUUUUUAAAAUGCUUUCUCCAGAAAACACCACACACUGCAGCACAGGCAAUGCAUGUGGAGUAUGGCUCUUAAACCUGCACUGGGUGCACACUGGUAUUUACUACUCUCAUGUUACUACUGCAUUUUCAUACGUUCUAUAGAAGCACUCCAACACUGUGCCUCCCUCUGGCCUUUUUGCCUUCUUUAAAAACCACUUGCAGAGGACACCAGUUGCUGCUAAGCGGUGUACUUUUGGAAACUUCCAUUUCAGUUCCAUUUCUGAAGUGACGGCAAAAAGGCACAGUGCUUGCAAUUUUGAUUAUAUUCUACAUAGCUUACUUCAAUGUCUUGUUGCCAUGUAAAAUAGUACUAAAUCAGCUUCAAUUUUCUGCAUAAUUAAAAUAACCAUAAUAGUUCAACAUGGAAGCAUGCCAAGUUCAUUUGUAGGAGACGUUUUCAAAUAUUGCUGAGAAAAAUUACAUUUAAAAAAUUCCCAUGUGAUUGAAAAUGGAAUAAUACUCUGAAAAUGUGCACACAUACAUGUUCAAGUCUUUAAGGAGAUAAAAGAGUCAGUGCUCUCUUGUGUUUACUCUGCCAAUAUUUAAUACAGAUGAUAGCAUCCAUUCCUCUUUCCUUAUUAAAUGCUAUCCUUAAUCUCAAUCUGAAUUAUCAUUGUACACUCCAAAACAGGAUAAAUUCAGGACUCCUGAUAGUGAUGCAUGACUGUGGUGUUUCAUAUCGUGGUGCCUACUAUGAUGCUGCUGUAGAAAGAUGUGGUUUUCCAUUUACUGAGCGCUUAAACUUUGUAGAAACUUUGCAGGCAUUUGUCUGCUUAAAUAUGUGCCAAAUAACCACUGUUGUUCUGUUUUUAAGAUGUAACUCUAAAAAAAGUUAACAAGAUAUAUUCCAAAACACCUUGCAUGCUUUGUUUUCCCUUUUAAAUUAUUCUCAAUUGUGUUAUCUCUCCAUCUCAAUAUCACAAUGACAUAAGGAUCUGCUUUGGCUGUCUGUAAUGUGUUUUUUUUUAUUAUUAUUAUUUUAUUUAAUGCAUUUAGAAUGACCUUCUACGUCCAUUAAAUUAUAUAUGAUCUAGUUUCUUGGCAGGGCCAUUUAUGAUCAUUUGUCUUAGAUUUUAUGUAUUGCUUUUCAUUGUUGAUCUCAGAAAUUGUCUUACUUACACUGAAUAAAAAG
ensembl:lncRNA